rnacentral:rRNA from 1 species
GACGAACGCUGGCGGCGUGCUUAACACAUGCAAGUCGAACGGAAAGGCCCUGCUUUUGUGGGGUGCUCGAGUGGCGAACGGGUGAGUAACACGUGAGUAACCUGCCCUUGACUUUGGGAUAACUUCAGGAAACUGGGGCUAAUACCGGAUAGGAGCUCCUGCUGCAUGGUGGGGGUUGGAAAGUUUCGGCGGGUGGGGAUGGACUCGCGGCUUAUCAGCUUGUUGGUGGGGUAGUGGCUUACCAAGGCUUUGACGGGUAGCCGGCCUGAGUGGGUGACCGGCCACAUUGGGACUGAGAUACGGCCCAGACUCCUACGGGAGGCAGCAGUGGGGAAUAUUGCACAAUGGGCGGAAGCCUAAUGCAGCAACGCCGCGUGCGGGAUGACGGCCUUCGGGUUGUAAACCGCUUUCGCCUGUGACGAAGCGUGAGUGACGGUAAUGGGUAAAGAAGCACCGGCUAACUACGUG